GACGAACGCUGGCGGCGUGCCUAAUACAUGCAAGUAGGACGCAGUUGCGAACGGGUGAGUAACGCGUAGGUAACUACCUAUUAGAGGGGGAUAACUAUUGGAAACGAUAGCUAAUACCGCAUACUAGUAGAUGGACCUGCGUUGUAUUAGCUAGUAGGUAGGGUAAUGGCCUACCUAGGCAACGAUACAUAGCCGACCUGAAAGGGUGAUCGGCAACAUGGUGACUGAGACACGGCCCAAACGCCUCAGGGAGGCAGCAGUAGGGAAUCUUCCGCAAUGAGCGAAAGCCUGACGGAGCAACGCCGCGUGAGUGAAUAAGGUUUUCGGAUCGUAAAGCUCUGUUGUAAGAGAAGCGGUAUCUUACCAGAAAGCCACGGCUAACUACGUGCCAGCAGCCGCGGUAAUUC
rnacentral:rRNA from 1 species